UCAAACACGUCGUUUUUUAUUUUUUUGUUUUAUCUCUCUCUCUUCUGCGCGGCUGCUAUAUCGGAGAGACUCUAGGGUUUUCGAUGUUUCAUCUUCUUCCUAACUACCCGUGAAUUAACCAGUUACAGAUUCAUCCUGAUAAAGACGUUCUUCAAUCCAUCAUCCACUAUCUACCUUAAGUGCGGCCGUUGCUCUUGAUAGACGGUGGAACUUCAAGUAUAAAAAAUGUUCUUCCACUGUGGUUAGGUUGCUGCGAAUUUCAAAGGAAUUUUAGGCGCGGUGAUGAGCUCAUGUCUGUUGAUAUACUCUUACUUGAUUCAAAGGCGACUCUUAUGCCGGUUAGGAAAAAUUAUUAUUGGGGGUUAUGGGGGUGAUGAGGAAACUACAUACCCUCAAAGCAAAUGAAGCUGGUCAUAUGUUGGCUGGAGAAUGUGUGAACCCUGAUGAUACUCAGGUCCCCCUUUUUAUUUUGGACGUAGAAGGAAAAACGUUCACCUUUCCGUUAGACUUUCACCAUCAUGCGCAUCCUUAAGGAACGUGAGUGUGCAUCUCUCCCCAAUUUCACUUAUAUUGGUGGCAACGACAAUGAUGGAGGCGAAAAGCCAGAUGACAACACGGAUCUUGCUAAGGUUAAGACUGGUGGUAGCAGUCAGCAGACAGCACCGGAUGCGGGAACAGUCCCAAAUGAUAAAAAGCCAAAGACGCCUUCAGCGGAAGCAGUUUCCAAGGUGGUCAAGAAGGCACGCAUGGCUUGAAUUGUGAUGACAAGAGUCUGCAGUUACAAUAAUGCUAUCACUUUGGUUUUUUCAUGCACGAGUACAUUAUUUUAUUUUUGGUUUUCACCCUCUUUGGGUAGUCUAUGUUUGAUUCAGACGAGUUUAUAAUGAUUUUUACUUGAUGUCUUCAAAUGAUUUGGUUUUAUAUGCCUACGUACAUAAACAAGAUCAGUUUAUAUAAGAGUGUACUCCAAACAGAGGAAUGGAGUUCAUAUUUUAA